CAGGCAUCCUAGCUAUAUAUAGCACAGUGUGCCUUUUAAACAAUCAUUGGUCUUGGAACGCAGUGGACUCCGAGUGUGGGAUUUGUUGAAUGAAUGGACAUUCGUAAAGAAGACGACUUCUAGCAGGCAUUCAUAGUAAUACAAAGAAAUACAAUAGAAUCAAUGAAAAACUACACACAAAGACUGACAAACAACCGAAGCAUAAAAGAAGACGGUGUAAGAGCCCAGGUGAAGAGCCAGUUCAAUUGUGCAGUCAACUUGAAAAAUGUUAAAGGAAGAUGUGAUACGAGAUGACACAGUCGGAUUUUAGAAAAUUUGUCACUUACAAGGGACCAGGAAGAAUGGAGAGUGG